rnacentral:rRNA from 1 species
GAUGAACGCUGGCGGCGUGCCUAAUACAUGCAAGUCGAGCGAUGGGGGAACGGGUGAGUAACACGUGGAUAACCGGCUAUAAGAAUGGGAUAACGUCGGAUAAUCGGCGCUAAACCGGAUACUUCGAGAUGGAUGCGCGCUGCAUUAGCUAGUUGGUAAGGUAACGGCUGACAAAGGCAACGCUGAAUGGCCGACCUUAGAGGUGGAUCGUCCACACUGGAACUGAGGCACGGUCCAGACUCCGACGGGAGGCAGCAGUAGGGAAUCUUCCGCAAGGGGCGAAAGACUGACGGAGCAACGCCGCGUGAGUGAUGAAGGUAUUCGAAUCGUAAAACUCUGUUAUUAGGGAAGCGGUACCUAUUCAGAAAGCCCCGGCUAACUACGUGCCAGCAGCCGCGGUAAUUC